rnacentral:misc_RNA from 1 species
CGCAGCUUUAAUUUUGGGAAGGCAUGCUCAUGUUUGCUGGAGACACUUGAACCAGUACAUCAGAAAAUCUGAAAUCUUCUCUUAACCAUUCAACAUAUGCAAGAGCAUCUUUUGAUGGUCCACUGAACUGGGCAUUAAUCCCUUGUUCAUUCAGAUAUAUUCGACCAUGGAUGUCAAGACCCUUCAAGAAAGAGAGAUGCUUG